CAGUAGCCGCGGGAAUACGUAGGUGGCAAGCGUUGUCCGGAAUUAUUGGGCGUAAAGGGCUCGCAGGCGGUUUCUUAAGUCUGAUGUGAAAGCCCCCGGCUCAACCGGGGAGGGUCAUUGGAAACUGGGAAACUUGAGUGCAGAAGAGGAGAGUGGAAUUCCACGUGUAGCGGUGAAAUGCGUAGAGAUGUGGAGGAACACCAGUGGCGAAAGCGACUCUCUGGUCUGUAACUGACGCUGAGGAGCGAAAGCGUGGGGAGCGAACAGGAUUAGAUACCCCUGUAGUCCCUGUCUCUUAUAC
rnacentral:rRNA from 1 species